rnacentral:rRNA from 1 species
ACUGAACGCUGGCGGCAUGCCUUACACAUGCAAGUCGAACGGCAGCACGGGGGCAACCCUGGUGGCGAGUGGCGAACGGGUGAGUAAUGCAUCGGAACGUGCCCAGUAGUGGGGGAUAACCCGGCGAAAGCCGGGCUAAUACCGCAUACGACCUACGGGUGAAAGCGGGGGACCGUAAGGCCUCGCGCUAUUGGAGCGGCCGAUGUCUGAUUAGCUAGUUGGCGGGGUAAAGGCCCACCAAGGCGACGAUCAGUAGCUGGUCUGAGAGGACGACCAGCCACCCUGGGACUGAGACACGGCCCAGACUCCUACGGGAGGCAGCAGUGGGGAAUUUUGGACAAGGGGGGCAACCCUGAUCCAGCCAUGCCGCGUGAGUGAAGAAGGCCUUCGGGUUGUAAAGCUCUUUCGGCCGGGAAGAAAUCGCACAGGCUAAUACCUUGUGUGGAUGACGGUACCGGAAUAAGAAGCACCGGCUAACUACGUGCCAGCAGCCGCAGUAACAC